AGAGGACCAGAGGCUGACAGCAAAGACCUGGAGGAUUACCUGUUGCAGUAUGGGUAUCUACAGAAACCUCUGGAAGGAGCUGAUGACUUCAGGCUAGAAGAUAUCACAGAGGCUCUAAGAACUUUCCAGGAAGCAUCUGAACUGCCUGUUUCCGGUCAGAUGGAUGAUGCCACAAGGGCCCGUAUGAAGCAGCCCCGUUGUGGCCUGGAGGAUCCUUUCAACCAGAAGACUCUGAAAUACCUGCUUCUGGGCCACUGGAGAAAGAAGCACUUGACAUUCCGCAUCUUGAACGUGCCCUCCACCCUCUCACCCUCCAGAGUCCGAGCAGCCCUGCAUCAAGCCUUUAAGUAUUGGAGCAAUGUAGCCCCCCUGACCUUCCGGGAG
rnacentral:lncRNA from 1 species